rnacentral:rRNA from 1 species
CAGCACCUCAAGUGGUCAGGAUGAUUAUUGGGCCUAAAGCAUCCGUAGCCGGCGCUGUAAGUUUUCGGUUAAAUCUGUACGCUCAACGUACAGGCUGCCGGGAAUACUGCAGCGCUAGGGAGUGGGAGAGGUAGACGGUACUCGGUAGGAAGGGGUAACAUCCUUUGAUCUAUUGAUGACCACCUGUGGCGAAGGCGGUCUACCAGAACACGUCCGACGGUGAGGGAUGAAAGCUGGGGGAGCAAACCGGAUUAGAGACCCCAGUAGUCC